rnacentral:rRNA from 1 species
CGUAUGGCGACCGGCGCACGGGUGAGUAACGCGUAUGCAACCUGCCCGAUACCGGGGGAUAGCCCAUGGAAACGUGGAUUAACACCCCAUAGUACUUUUAUCCUGCCUGGGAUGGGAGUUAAAUGUUCAAGGUAUCGGAUGGGCAUGCGUCCUAUUAGUUAGUUGGCGGGGUAACAGCCCACCAAGACGAUGAUAGGUAGGGGUUCUGAGAGGAAGGUCCCCCACAUUGGAACUGAGACACGGUCCAA